ensembl:lncRNA
CUCUCACUACUGACACAAGCUGUCUCCAGGUGUUUCUGUUCAUCUCCUGAGGUUGUGAUGAGUAACUACACUUGUCCUCUUUAAACGGAGGGUAACGCUGCUUCGUUAAGGUGCAGUACCACCUCCGGCCGCCAGAGCGGCGCCAGCUUUAGUUUCUCCAGCGUAGAAGAAAAACACCAGCUCAGCAACAACAACAGAGUUCUGAUCCGCACGACUUCAACGAAAAGGAUUAAAACUUUAGUUUUUCUCUCUCUGAAAGUUAAUUUUCUUCACUUUUAGACCGUCAACAUGCCUUAACUCACGGUGUGUGACACCACCACCGUUAACGAUGCUUGUGAUCGUCGAGACUGUCCAGGACCAGGAGGAGGGAAGGAGGGAGGUGGGCUGCCAGAGCGAGCCAGUAGAGAGCAGGGAUGUUGCUGUUCAGGUGGACCUUAACUGGAGACUAGUAGGUGUUGCCGACAUCCCAUGGCAGUGUGUCUCUGUCAGAGCAGAUAAACCAGGAGGGGGCGCUCUGCUGCACCAUAGCAGCACAAACGCGACCAACGUGCUGGACACACGACCCACCUUCUACUCCAUCUAUCCCCCUUACACUGAAACAGUGCUACCUACCAUGCCUCUGUUAAGACCUGCAACUCCAGACCUCCAGCAGCUCCACCCGGCAAGGUCAUUAUCCAGCAUGCCUCUGUAUCAGACUGUUCCGCUCCUGCCACAGGCAGCCAGCCCUGUUCUACAGAGCUUACCUUUACCCAGUAUGCCUUUGUGGAGCGUUCCCUCCACUGCCGGAGUGCAGCGUGAUGCUUCUCCCUCAUCAACUCCUGCAGACACUUUAGUUCCUCCUCCUGGACUUAUUGCUCCUCUGAGCCCCCGUCUGGCUGAGGAUGAGGAGGAAGGUUCCUUGUUAAAGCAGGGGAAAGGUGUCUGUGGUAACAAGCAUUCCAUAGUAACAUCAGAGAAGAAGAAGAGGAUGUCUCAGUGCAGAGAAAAGUCUCAACCAGCCUUCAAACAGACUAAACGCAUAACAGGGAAAGUUACUAACACCAUGAGGGGGGAGAGGAAGACCAGUAGCACUGUCUGCCAAAAGAGGAGCAGUGAGGAAAGUGAGGAUUCGCAACUUGACCACUGUCAGCAUGUCCUCCACCCUGUGGAGAGUAGCGCCAUCACCAAAACACAACAGAGUGGUGGGAAAACUGUACAACCUGCAGUGCAAAUCCAGCACACCUCAACUGACAAAGGGAAGGAGGAGGGAGAAGGUGUAAAACCUGUGAAGAAAAUAAACAAUAAGACAGAGCAGGCAGGGAGGCCGAGGAGGAAGACAGUCGGUCCACCAAUCAGAUACCUGCUGGAGUCCGAGGUGAGGUCAGACAGUCUGUCUGCGUCCAGCCACAGCAGAGUGAAGGUGAAGAAGAAGAUGGAGAGCAAGAGGAAAGAACAUCAGGCAGAGAGAGAAGAGGUGGAGGUAACAGAGAGGACAGACAGCAGCAGGGUGGCAUCCCCCAGGGAUGAAGCGGUGGGUCGGUGGAGUCAGCCCUGUCAGGUGUGUGGUCUGGUCUUUACCAAACAGGCGUCCCUGCAACUCCACCAGUCUGUCCACAAAAAAGAUCACCCCCGCCCUCACUGCGGCAACAGAGGCAGUGCACAUGGAAACAAGGAAGGUCAUUGUGACACCAUGACAAAAGCAGCCAACAAACUGAAGGAGGUGGAGGAUAACACCAAGAGCGAGGGAGCGGAGGACAGAGAAGAAAAGAGUGAAGAGGAGGAAAAAAAGCCCCUGCCUCCACCUCCCACCGUGUCGUCCGAUUGGUCAAGACACACAAAUCGUGUAACCAGAAAUUUACAGUGGUGGGCCGAUUUCCGAACCCAGAUGAAGAGGAGGCAGGAGAGCAGAGAAAGGUGGAGGAGGCAACAGGAAAAUAAUGGAGGCAAGGAGAGGAAGAGAAAGACGAGGAGAGAGGAAGAAGAAGAGGAGAAAGAGAAGAAACGAGUCUGUGUGAAGGACGAGGGUGGAGAAGAAGAUGCAGAGAGAAGGAAUGGAGGAGAGGAAAAGGGGAAAGAGGUGAAACAAGUCUGUGUGAAGGCAGAGGGUGAAGGAGAGGAUGCACAGAAGAGAAGCGAUGGAGGAGAGGAAAAGAAGCAGGACACACAAAUGGAGGCAAAAAAGGAGGUGAUGGAGCUGCCUCCAAGGCCGAGGAGGAAGAUGGUGGGUCCACCAAUCAGAUACCUGGUGGAGUCAGAGGAGCAGGCACACGGUCCUGUUACAGCCAAUCAGGACACGAGAAAACCAAAAAAGAAGAAGAGCAACGCUGAAGGAGGAGCUUCAGACAUCACAGCAGUGAUUGACAAGUCUGAGAGACAGACAGGUAGAACCAAUCAGGAGGCAGCAAACAAACUUAAACAGAGAAACGAAAGACCAAAAAAGUUUGUGAUUGAUAGUAAGGCUGUGCACAGGGCUUCAGACAGAGAGACAGGUCAAAUAGUCUUAGAGAGACAGACAGGUCACGUGUCCUCAGAGGGAGAGUCAGGUCAGGUGGCCUUGGAGAGACAGAUGGGUCAGAUGAUCACUGAUAAACAGACAUGUUCCAUGGAGAUAGACAGAAAGACAGAUCAGAUGAUUUUAGACAGACAGAAACAAACGGAGAGACAGACGGGUCACGUGGUCACAGAGACAGAGGUAGGUCACAUGGUCUCUGAGAAAGAGACAGGUCACAUGGUAUCAGAAAGCCUGACAGAAAGUCAGACAGGUAGCAAGGCCUCAGAGGGAGAGACGGGUGACAAUUUCUCAGAGAAACAGACAGGUGUGAACCAAUACUGUUACAUGAUCCACAGAGACCUGCACAAUGGUCAAGUGACCAUCAUCCCCCCCUGCUGUGUGAGACUGCAGCGCCUCCUCUGAUUUAGGGUUAAAUGUUGCAUUUUCUCUAUGAGGUUCUGUUCAUGUCCUGUAAUUUGGAUUGAAUGGGUAAAACUAGACUGGACACACUCCAUAGACAUGACCGGCUGCUGUUUACAUGUUGUCAGUGUAUGAAGCUCAUGGUUGGAGCAGAAUUACCUUUUUUUUUUGGAUGGAGAAUUUGGUUUAUGGACUAACUGAAUGUCAGUACCAACUCAGGGGAUAUUAAGUAAAAAACCCUCACUUCCUGAUUUCUUCAUAAAUUCAUGUAAACAGCUUAGGAUAAAAGUUCCCUAAAACUGAAGUGUCCCAUUACUGUUGUCUGAAUGUCCAUGGGUUCACUCACUGCUCGCCACACAUAGGAGCUGCUAACAGGUAAUUCAGCUGCUUUAAUGGGCACAGUUUGACUAAAUCUAAAUAAAUAUAGUUUUAGAGUUGAGUUCACUGCAGAGUUAUGCUUCAUAUUUACUUCCAUCAGAGUGAACAUAUAUUUACUAGUUUACUGUUUGUUGAUUUGUUUGUAUAUAUGAACUAAAGCCCUUGUCAGGAACUGUUUAGCUGUCAACUUUAAAAUAAUUUCCACGUCCAAAUCUUUGACUAAACAUGUGGUUAUUAUUUUCUGAGCUCUUCCUGCACUGGCUGCACCAGCAACCACAGGUAGACAGUUUCACUUCUGUGAUAUUGUAUUUUUCAGUCUGGACACUGAUUCUUGUAUAAACGACUGUAUUUCCUGAACAGCAAUGACGUGUUCACAUCACCGGGAAGAUGGCAGCUCUGUCUUUAAAUCCCCAAUUGAACAAAAUACAAAGAUACACAUUAAACUAUAAAACAGUGAAAAACCCAUUAAAUUGCUGCUGUACAUAAGUGAUAAGUGUUUUACUCAAGAGCUGGACAUGUGAUGGUUUAAAUUACCAUUCUUGUUCAGUAUAGCACUACAUUCAAAUUCAGCGCAACUUAAACAACUCCCAUGUUUUUAUUUAUAGGCACAGAUUUCACAGAUGUAAUGAAUUAUCUUUUUAACCCUUACAUGACUGACUGUUUCCCAUCCUGCACACAUAAAUGUGGAAUCUUAAAAUGGGGCGCCUCUAGAUAAAAUUUGUUUAACAGAAUAUAUGUUAUUAAUGAUUUAAGUGUUUGUACCUUUGUCUGUUCAUAAGUCUAUUUACUGUAUUGGUAUGUUUAUUAUUUUCUGAAUGUUUAGGAGUUUUCAUAUCUCUACUAACAAAGAGGAGGCACUCCAGGUCAUUUAUUGUGCUAAAUCUACAGAACCUAACAACUUUUAUUGUGUUAUUUGUCACAAUCAGUGUGUAUUUAUUGUGUAGCAGAUUUAAUAAACUGUGACUGU